rnacentral:lncRNA from 1 species
UCUUCUAAUUAUCUUAAUGUACCUUCCUUAAUUAAUAAAAGCUUGAUGCGGAAUUCAGUUUCGCAUCACGUAUUAUAAGAUUUUCAUUACUGAAAUAGAAUCUGCUUCCUUCAGCAAAGUCGAGAGUUCUUCAACAAUCUACCUCUUUCAAGUUCACCAAAGAAUCAUAUGCACUUCAUAAAAACGUAUUUCGUUGGAUUGAGUCAUUACAAAAUUCAGAAGUCUAUAGAAUAUACAAAACUAGAAUUAAGAGGUAUUUAAAUGGUUGAUGAAAAACUGACUUAAUAUACGUAUAAAGUGGACAACACUCGAAUAGUCGACGCAUACACAAUGCUUAUCUACGAUUGUUCGUUUCCCUGCCUAUUCUUCAAUUGUUCAUUCCACGCGACCCCUCUCGGAAGCGUCAAAAUUUCGAAAGACGUUAUUGGCCUGGCAGAGACCACGUUGGCGCCGUUUUGUCGUACGUCAACGUCGUCUACGGAAGCGUGCAUGUGCAUAGUGAUGGCAUUGAUCCUCACCUCCGUACGGCGUCAACAGGCUACAAAAAAAGUGGUCAUUUUGUGAGUAUUUAACUACUUGCUGAUGCAUGAUAUGUAUUUUUAAACGGUUUGGUCAUAUCCAUCAAUCUCUAUUAUAGAGAUUACUUGUUAUAAAUUACAUUUAUAACAUGAAAAGAUAUUUUUUAUAUUCAUUAUGGUAAAAUAAUGAAUUAUAAUAUUGCGAUUUGAUAUUGUAAAUGACGAAUGGGUGAAGUGGAAUGGUAAAUUGUUCAAUUUAAGUUUAGAGAAAUAUUUCUCAAGUUUAAUAGGAUGACAAAAUGAAUCACAAUAUUGUGUCUCGAAAUUAAAAAUAGGAAAUGAUAAGUCUUUAAUGUUACAU